UCUCCUGUAGCUCAGUGGUAGAGCGUCCGAUCGGUGUGCGGAAGGUCAUAGGUUCGACUCCUGUUGGGAGAA
rnacentral:tRNA from 1 species